rnacentral:rRNA from 1 species
GGGAUGGCAGGUAGCUCGUGGGGCCUGCUCAUGGUUCGCUGUGAGCGUGGUUUUCGAGUGUAAUCAGCUGACCACAUUGGUUCUGUGCAGUAUGUUGGAGACGGCGGCUAGUGCGCGUGCGUUCAUAGUUGGUCGGCGUGUCCGAGUUUGGUUGUUACGUUGCCUGUGUGUGCAGGCCUGAUGAUGACUCGGAUACGUUCGGCUGACUUGCGCACGAGUACAAUAUGGGGCCCAUAGUCUGUGGUGUAGUGGUAACUAUCCACCUGACCCGUCUUGAAACACGGACCAAGGAGAGUAACAUGUGCGCGAGUCAUUGGGUAUUACGAAGCCCAAAGGCGCAGCGAAAGUAAAGGUCUGGCUUGCCAGGCUGAGGUGAGAUCUCGUCGUUUCCUCUGCGGUACUACCAGGCAUCGAGCGAUGAGCGCAUCACCGGCCCGUCCCAUGACAAUUGUUUUUCGGCAGUACUCAGUCGGGGCGGAGCAUGAGCGUACAUGUUGAGACCCGAAAGAUGGUGAACUAUGCUUGCGCAGGUUGAAGCCAGAGGAAACUCUGGUGGAGGACCGAAGCGGUUCUGACGUGCAAAUCGAUCGCCAGACGUGAGUAUGGGGGCGAAAGACUAAUCG